rnacentral:rRNA from 1 species
AGCUCCAAUAGCGUAUAUUAAAGUUGUUGCAGUUAAAAAGCUCGUAGUUGGAUUUCGGGACGGGCCAGUUGGUCCGCCGCAAGGUGUGUUACUGACUGGUCUGUUCUUCUUCGCAAAGACUUCGUAUGCUCUUCAGUGAGUGUGCGUAGGAUUUACGACGUUUACUUUGAAAAAAUUAGAGUGUUCAAAGCAGGCUAUCGCUUGAAUACAUGAGCAUGGAAUAAUGGAAUAGGACUUUGGUCCUAUUUUGUUGGUUUCUAGGACCGAAGUAAUGAUUAAGAGGGACAAAUGGGGGCAUCCGUAUUUCGUUGUCAGAGGUGAAAUUCUUGGAUUUACGAAAGACGAACAACUGCGAAAGCACUUGCCAAGAGUGUUUUCAUUAAUCAAGAACGAAAGUAGG